UUGAACUACCAGAAGGAGAGAAUGAAGGACAGGCCAUAAGCUCAAAAAAAUAAGAGAGACAGAAGCAGCCAAGACACUGAAAGAGAGUACGCAGUGAAGGCCAGCGCAUCUUUGCAACGGCAAGCGACUCCCAGGUGCCCGGUUUACAGAAUCCCUUCUGCAGGAUCUGGGGCAAGACACAGCCCAUGGGCUGCACUUUAUCCUUCUGCUGCUAACUGGUACAAAAAUGGAGUUCUCAGACCUCUGGACCCGGCCUCUCUCCUCAGAGCGAGGGGAAGGAAGUUCAGGACAAGAACACAAUGGGCAGGAUCAUCAAAACAGCUAAGAUAUUGAGGGGUGUAAAUACUUCUGAGCCAGCAUGAACAGUUGGACCAGGACUCUGGAGACCAGGGUUGGAUUCCCCGCUAGACCAUGGAAACCAUGGGAGGCUGGUGUGGUCCCUUCUUUGCUUUCUCUCCGCCAGGAGGCCCAAACCUUUUUGUUCACCCAGGCCUUUGAGCACUAACCAUCGGCGGAAGCAGG